rnacentral:rRNA from 1 species
CGGACGGGUGAGUAAUGCUUAGGAAUCUGCCUAUUAGUGGGGGACAACAUUUCGAAAGGAAUGCUAAUACCGCAUACGUCCUACGGGAGAAAGCAGGGGAUCUUCGGACCUUGCGCUAAUAGAUGAGCCUAAGUCGGAUUAGCUAGUUGGUGGGGUAAAGGCCUACCAAGGCGACGAUCUGUAGCGGGUCUGAGAGGAUGAUCCGCCACACUGGGACUGAGACACGGCCCAGACUCCUACGGGAGGCAGCAGUGGGGAAUAUUGGACAAUGGGCGCAAGCCUGAUCCAGCCAUGCCGCGUGUGUGAAGAAGGCCUUAUGGUUGUAAAGCACUUUAAGCGAGGAGGAGGCUACUUUAGUUAAUACCUAGAGAUAGUGGACGUUACUCGCAGAAUAAGCACCGGCUAACUCUGUGCCAGCAGCCGCGGUAAUACAGAGGGUGCAAGCGUUAAUCGGAUUUACUGGGCGUAAAGCGCGCGUAGGCGGCUAAUUAAGUCAAAUGUGAAAUCCCCGAGCUUAACUUGGGAAUUGCAUUCGAUACUGGUUAGCUAGAGUGUGGGAGAGGAUGGUAGAAUUCCAGGUGUAGCGGUGAAAUGCGUAGAGAUCUGGAGGAAUACCGAUGGCGAAGGCAGCCAUCUGGCCUAACACUGACGCUGAGGUGCGAAAGCAUGGGGAGCAAACAGGAUUAGAUACCCUGGUAGUCCAUGCCGUAAACGAUGUCUACUAGCCGUUGGGGCCUUUGAGGCUUUAGU